ensembl:lncRNA
CUUCAGAACACCACUCCAGGAAGUCAAUACCAAUUAGAGCUGGCGCAGUUUGGUGCAGCCACUUUAUAUUAACUCACUCACCACUCAUGUCAAUGCAUUUGGGGCUUACUUUCUUGAACAACAGAGGCUGGCAACCCACAAGCUGCUUUUUCCAAAUAUCCUUUUAACUAACAUGCAGGCAUGGGAAUUAGGAUCUGCCGAGCAGAUGAGCCUGCAUGAAACAUUGGUGAGGAAAUAAAUGAAGCAGCUGUUGCAUGAGAGUCUCCUGGGGCAACACAGGAUGUCACCCAGAAACUAUCUUCAGCAUGUAAUUUUUGACUGCAUUGUUACAAGAUGGAUCCCUGCCUUGUCUGCAGGCCAGUGGCUAGACCUGUGUGACAUACCCUCCCGAAAGCAUAGAGGCUGGUGUUGCGUCAUCCAAUCCUUAUAACAGAGACGGGCUGGAAGCAGAGAUCAGAAGCUGCGUUGAGUGAAACACCCUUCAGUGUUUGCCACAUCGUCACUGCCUUAGGAGCUGUUGUCAUCUAGGACUCCUCUGCAUUUGAAGAGAACGAUGCAGUACUUCUUCCCCUUGCCUUGGUGAUUAAGGAAGCAAGCGCUUUUGUGAGCCCACGGAGCCGUCUCAGAGGAGAACUGCCACAGAGCAUCUUCCAGAUCUGUGGCAUGGACUGUGUAUGAACAAUCGACUCAUUCUUUUAGGUACUAAGAUAUGGAAGCUGUUCCUACUCUAUCAUAACUUUGCAUUUCUGACUAAUAGAUGACCCUGUUGGCAAGUCAGUAUAGCUUGUUAAAAAUUGGCCAUGUGCCUUGUGUGCUAAGUUGCUUCAGUCAUGUCCAACUCUGCAACCCUAUGGACUAUAGCCCACCAGGCUUCCCUGUCCAUGUGGUUCUCCAGACAAGAAUACUGGAGUGAGUUACGAUUUCCUACUCCAAGGGAUCUUCCUGACCCAGGGAUCAAACAUGUGUCUCUUAUAUCUCCCUCACUGACAGGUGAUUUCUUUACCACUAGUGCCACCUGAGAAGCCAAAAAUUGGCUACAGUCUCCACCAAUUUCUAGCUAUGUGGUCUUGGAAACUUACUGUAAAGAAUUAUUGUAAGAG